rnacentral:lncRNA from 1 species
AACUUUAACCAAACAAGAGAUACACAGAACCCUAAUCUCCAAAGACCCAAACACCCAACACUAUUUACUCGCAUCUCUCACACAAAUCAGACCCUAAAUCACCCAAAUCCAUGGUGAGUGAUUCCAAACUGAUAACCACGUGUUCCUCCUUCUCUCCUCUUUCUAUUUCUAACGGUUUCCUACACAUUAUCCCUCAUCUCAACUCGCCCGAUGUUGAGAUGUAACACGCGAUUGGAAGGUUCUGCGAAAAAUUUGUUGGAGGAGUGUGAGGUGUUGGAUUGAUUAAUUCCAUCUGAGCCCCAUACUCAUCAGGGUUUGGUUUUCAAAAGGGACCUCAUCUGAUUUUGAGGAUAGAGGAUUCUGGGAUUUAUUUGGAGGAUUUUUCGGACAGCAGAGAAGUCACCUAGAAAUAAGACUUCGAAUGAAGCUUUUCUUUUCAUUUUUGUCUGAAACUAUCUUGGUUUAAUUCCAGUGACAAAAUCAAAAAAAUUUCAUUCUCAUCUUUAAUCUUAGCCCUUUGUUCUUUUCAUCUUGAAGUUCAGACGUUUUCAUUCUCAUGGUGUAUCUGGUUUGAACUUGAAGUGUGCGUUCAUUUUUUCUGAAUUUUAUUUUGAGUUAAUUGAAGUCGACUGAGUGCUGUUGGUUUCGAGUUGCUCCAAAGCUGUUCGCUUAGCUGCUGACUCGUGAGUUCAUUAUGAUCUCUAUUUGGACUCGCUUCCUCUGAGAAUCGUUGUAAUCCUUCAACUGCAUUAAUCAAAAGUUUAUUUUAAGGUUCACUUCCAAACUCUCUUAUUUUGCUGUUUUACGUGAGUUGAAAUAUUUUGUUUGUUUGAAUUAAUUGCUAGAAACCUGAGAAGUAAAACACAAUUUUGGCAUGCUUGGUUGAGCUUUGAGUUGGUUUUCUGAGUUUGAAUGUCUGUUUCAAUGGUUCUUUUUAUGGAAAUGUGAAUGUCUGUUUGAGUUUGAAUGUCUGCUCGAGUUGCUGCAUUGCUGAGUACUGUCAGCUACGAUUACUCUAGUUUGAGUUGUAGUUUGUUGUGUCCGAACUAAUGUAGGAUUUUUUGUUCAUCGUUGGCUUCAAUAUAAGCUUAUCAAAUCAGCAAGCGGU